AUUGAACGCUGGCGGCAGGCCUAACACAUGCAAGUCGAACGAGUGGCGGACGGGUGAGUAAUUUCUGGGAAACUGCCCGAUGGAGGGGGAUAACUGCUGGAAACGGUAGCUAAUACCGCAUACCAUCGGAUGUGCCCAGAUGGGAUUAGCUAGUCGGUGGGGUAUCGGCUCACCUAGGCGACGAUCCCUAGCUGGUCUGAGAGGAUGACCGGCUACACUGGAACUGAGACACGGUCCAGACUCCUACGGGAGGCAGCAGUGGGGAAUAUUGAACAAUGGACGCAAGCCUGAUGCAGCAAUGCCGCGUGAAUGAAGAAGGCUUUCGGGUUGUAAAGUACUUUCAGCGAGGAGGCGUUACUCGCAGAAGAAGCACCGGCUAACUCCGUGCCAGCCGCCGCGGUAAUUC
rnacentral:rRNA from 1 species